GACAUCUAGGGGUUAAAAAGACGAGAGACAGGUUGACCCAAACGUUCUUCUGGCCCAAGAUCACUCAUUGCAGGACCUGUGACAUUUGUCAAAGGAUAGGAAAAAGGGGUGACCACCAGAAAGCUAAACUCCACCCGUUAUAGACGAGCCCUUUCACCGGUUAGCGGUGGACCUAAUAGGCCCCCUCAGCAAACCCAGCCAGUCCGGCAAAAAGUUAAUCUUAACCGUGGUGGACUAUGCCACUAGGUACCCCGAAGCAGUAGCCCUCUGGAACAUAGAAG